rnacentral:rRNA from 1 species
AUUGAACGCUGGCGGCAGGCCUAACACAUGCAAGUCGAACGAGUGGCGGACGGGUGAGUAAUGUCUGGGAAACUGCCUGAUGGAGGGGGAUAACUACUGGAAACGGUAGCUAAUACCGCAUACCAUCGGAUGUGCCCCGAUGGGCUUAGCUAGUUGGUGGGGUAACGGCGCACCUAGGCGACGAUCCCUAGCUGGUCUGAGAGGAUGACCAGCAACACUGUAACUGAGACACGGGCCAGACGCCGACGGGAGGCAGCAGUGGGGAAUAUUGCACAAUGGGCGAAAGCCUGAUGCAGCCAUGCCGCGGGUAUGAAGAAGGCCUUCGGGUUGUAAAGUACGUUCAGCGGGGAGGCGUUACCCGCAGAAGAAGCACCGGCUAACUCCGUGCCAGCAGCCGCGGUAAUAC